AGCGAACGCUGGCGGCAGGCCUAACACAUGCAAGUCGAACGAAGUCUUCGGACUUAGUGGCGGACGGGUGAGUAACACGUGGGAACGUGCCCUUUGGUACGGAAUAACUCAGGGAAACUUGAGCUAAUACCGUAUGUGCCCUUCAGGGGAAAGAUUUAUCGCCAUUGGAGCGGCCCGCGUCUGAUUAGCUAGUUGGUGAGGUAAAGGCUCACCAAGGCGACGAUCAGUAGCUGGUCUGAGAGGAUGAUCAGCCACAUUGGGACUGAGACACGGCCCAAACUCCUACGGGAGGCAGCAGUGGGGAAUCUUGCGCAAUGGGCGAAAGCUUGACGCAGCCAUGCCGCGUGAAUGAUGAAGGUCUUAGGAUUGUAAAAUUCUUUCACCGGGGACGAUAAUGACGGUACCCGGAGAAGAAGCCCCGGCUAACUUCGUGCCAGCCGCCGCCGUAAGAC
rnacentral:rRNA from 1 species